rnacentral:rRNA from 1 species
GACGUAGGGGGCGAGCGUUGUCCGGAUUUAUUGGGCGUAAAGCGCGCGCAGGCGGUUCGGAAAGUCGGAUGUGAAAAUCCGGGGCUCAACCCCGGACGUGCAUCCGAUACUCCCGGACUGGAGGCAGGUAGGGGAGAGCGGAAUUCCCGGUGUAGCGGUGAAAUGCGCAGAUAUCGGAAGGAACAUCAGUGGCGAAGGCGACUACCUGGCCUGUUUCUUGACGCUGAGGCGCGAAAGCUAGGGGAGCAAACGGG